UACGUAGGGGGCAAGCGUUAUCCGGAUUUACUGGGCGUAAAGCGCGUUAAGGCGGAUGGCAAAGUUGGGGGUGAAAUUUCGGGGCUUAACCCCGAAACUGCCGCCAAUACUGGUCAUCUAGAGUGUGGGAGAGGAAGGUGGAAUUCCGGGUGUAGUAGUGAAAUGCGUAGAUAUCCGGAGGAACACCGGUGGCGAAGGCGGCCUUCUGGCCCAUAACUGACGCUGUAGCGCGAAAGCGUGGGGAGCGAACGGG
rnacentral:rRNA from 1 species